rnacentral:piRNA from 1 species
UACAAAGCGCGGUGUGACCCAAGCCAGGGAC